UUAAGCGACUAAGCGUACACGGUGGAUGCCCUGGCAGUCAGAGGCGAUGAAGGACGUGCUAAUCUGCGAUAAGCGUCGGUAAGGUGAUAUGAACCGUUAUAACCGGCGAUUUCCGAAUGGGGAAACCCAGUGUGAUUCGUCACACUAUCAUUAACUGAAUCCAUAGGUUAAUGAGGCGAACCGGGGGAACUGAAACAUCUAAGUACCCCGAGGAAAAGAAAUCAACCGAGAUUCCCCCAGUAGCGGCGAGCGAACGGGGAGGAGCCCAGAGCCUGAAUCAGUGUGUGUGUUAGUGGAAGCGUCUGGAAAGGCGCGCGAUACAGGGUGACAGCCCCGUACACAAAAAUGCACAUACUGUGAGCUCGAUGAGUAGGGCGGGACACGUGGUAUCCUGUCUGAAUAUGGGGGGACCAUCCUCCAAGGCUAAAUACUCCUGACUGACCGAUAGUGAACCAGUACCGUGAGGGAAAGGCGAAAAGAACCCCGGCGAGGGGAGUGAAAAAGAACCUGAAACCGUGUACGUACAAGCAGUGGGAGCCUCUUUAUGGGGUGACUGCGUACCUUUUGUAUAAUGGGUCAGCGACUUAUAUUCUGUAGCAAGGUUAACCGAAUAGGGGAGCCGAAGGGAAACCGAGUCUUAACUGGGCGUUAAGUUGCAGGGUAUAGACCCGAAACCCGGUGAUCUAGCCAUGGGCAGGUUGAAGGUUGGGUAACACUAACUGGAGGACCGAACCGACUAAUGUUGAAAAAUUAGCGGAUGACUUGUGGCUGGGGGUGAAAGGCCAAUCAAACCGGGAGAUAGCUGGUUCUCCCCGAAAGCUAUUUAGGUAGCGCCUCGUGAAUUCAUCUCCGGGGGUAGAGCACUGUUUCGGCAAGGGGGUCAUCCCGACUUACCAACCCGAUGCAAACUGCGAAUACCGGAGAAUGUUAUUACGGGAGACACACGGCGGGUGCUAACGUCCGUCGUGAAGAGGGAAACAACCCAGACCGCCAGCUAAGGUCCCAAAGUCAUGGUUAAGUGGGAAACGAUGUGGGAAGGCCCAGACAGCCAGGAUGUUGGCUUAGAAGCAGCCAUCAUUUAAAGAAAGCGUAAUAGCUCACUGGUCGAGUCGGCCUGCGCGGAAGAUGUAACGGGGCUAAACCAUGCACCGAAGCUGCGGCAGCGACACUAUGUGUUGUUGGGUAGGGGAGCGUUCUGUAAGCCUGUGAAGGUGUGCUGUGAGGCAUGCUGGAGGUAUCAGAAGUGCGAAUGCUGACAUAAGUAACGAUAAAGCGGGUGAAAAGCCCGCUCGCCGGAAGACCAAGGGUUCCUGUCCAACGUUAAUCGGGGCAGGGUGAGUCGACCCCUAAGGCGAGGCCGAAAGGCGUAGUCGAUGGGAAACAGGUUAAUAUUCCUGUACUUGGUGUUACUGCGAAGGGGGACGGAGAAGGCUAUGUUGGCCGGGCGACGGUUGUCCCGGUUUAAGCGUGUAGGCUGGUUUUCCAGGCAAAUCCGGAAAAUCAAGGCUGAGGCGUGAUGACGAGGCACUACGGUGCUGAAGCAACAAAUGCCCUGCUUCCAGGAAAAGCCUCUAAGCAUCAGGUAACAUCAAAUCGUACCCCAAACCGACACAGGUGGUCAGGUAGAGAAUACCAAGGCGCUUGAGAGAACUCGGGUGAAGGAACUAGGCAAAAUGGUGCCGUAACUUCGGGAGAAGGCACGCUGAUAUGUAGGUGAAGCGACUUGCUCGUGGAGCUGAAAUCAGUCGAAGAUACCAGCUGGCUGCAACUGUUUAUUAAAAACACAGCACUGUGCAAACACGAAAGUGGACGUAUACGGUGUGACGCCUGCCCGGUGCCGGAAGGUUAAUUGAUGGGGUUAGCGGUAACGCGAAGCUCUUGAUCGAAGCCCCGGUAAACGGCGGCCGUAACUAUAACGGUCCUAAGGUAGCGAAAUUCCUUGUCGGGUAAGUUCCGACCUGCACGAAUGGCGUAAUGAUGGCCAGGCUGUCUCCACCCGAGACUCAGUGAAAUUGAACUCGCUGUGAAGAUGCAGUGUACCCGCGGCAAGACGGAAAGACCCCGUGAACCUUUACUAUAGCUUGACACUGAACAUUGAGCCUUGAUGUGUAGGAUAGGUGGGAGGCUUUGAAGUGUGGACGCCAGUCUGCAUGGAGCCGACCUUGAAAUACCACCCUUUAAUGUUUGAUGUUCUAACGUUGGCCCCUGAUCGGGGUUGCGGACAGUGUCUGGUGGGUAGUUUGACUGGGGCGGUCUCCUCCUAAAGAGUAACGGAGGAGCACGAAGGUUGGCUAAUCCUGGUCGGACAUCAGGAGGUUAGUGCAAUGGCAUAAGCCAGCUUGACUGCGAGCGUGACGGCGCGAGCAGGUGCGAAAGCAGGUCAUAGUGAUCCGGUGGUUCUGAAUGGAAGGGCCAUCGCUCAACGGAUAAAAGGUACUCCGGGGAUAACAGGCUGAUACCGCCCAAGAGUUCAUAUCGACGGCGGUGUUUGGCACCUCGAUGUCGGCUCAUCACAUCCUGGGGCUGAAGUAGGUCCCAAGGGUAUGGCUGUUCGCCAUUUAAAGUGGUACGCGAGCUGGGUUUAGAACGUCGUGAGACAGUUCGGUCCCUAUCUGCCGUGGGCGCUGGAGAACUGAGGGGGGCUGCUCCUAGUACGAGAGGACCGGAGUGGACGCAUCACUGGUGUUCGGGUUGUCAUGCCAAUGGCACUGCCCGGUAGCUAAAUGCGGAAGAGAUAAGUGCUGAAAGCAUCUAAGCACGAAACUUGCCCCGAGAUGAGUUCUCCCUGACUCCUUGAGAGUCCUGAAGGAACGUUGAAGACGACGACGUUGAUAGGCCGGGUGUGUAAGCGCAGCGAUGCGUUGAGCUAACCGGUACUAAUGAACCGUGAGGCUUAACCUU
rnacentral:rRNA from 1 species